AGCGAACGCUGGCGGCAGGCCUAACACAUGCAAGUCGAACGAACCUUUCGGGGUUAGUGGCGGACGGGUGAGUAACACGUGGGAACGUGCCUUUAGGUUCGGAAUAACUCAGGGAAACUUGUGCUAAUACCGAAUGUGCCCUUCGGGGGAAAGAUUAAUCGCCUUUAGAUCGGCCCGCGUCUGAUUAGCUAGUUGGUUGAGGUAAUGGCUCACCACGGCGACGAUCAGUAGCUGGUCUGAGAGGAUGAUCAGCCACAUUGGGACUGAGACACGGCCCAAACUCCUACGGGAGGCAGCAGUGGGGAAUCUUGCGCAAUGGGCGAAAGCCUGACGCAGCCAUGCCGCGUGAAUGAUGAAGGUCUUAGGAUUGUAAAAUUCUUUCACCGGGGACGAUAAUGACGGUACCCGGAGAAGAAGCCCCGGCUAACUUCGUG
rnacentral:rRNA from 1 species